rnacentral:rRNA from 1 species
GGGGGGGGGGGGGGGGGGGGUGGGGGGGGGGGGGGGGGGGGGGGGGGCGGGGCGUGGGGGGUGGUCGGGUGGCGGACGGGUGGGGCGGGGGGGGGGGGUCUGCCCGCAACUUUGGGGGGGGCGUGGGCGACUGGGUCUCCUGCCGGGUGGAGUGAACGGUCGCAGGGUGGAUGGUGGACAGCUUUUGCUGUUGCGGAUGGGCGCGCGGCCUAUGAGCUUGUUGUGGGGGUCAUUGCCUACCAAGGCGACGCCGGGUCGCCGACCUGAGAGGGGGAUCGGCCACACUGGGACUGAGACACGGCCCAGACUCCUACGGGAGGCAGCAGUGGGGAAUAUUGCACAAUGGGCGCAAGCCUGAUGCAGCGACGCCGCGGGAGGGAUGACGGCCUUCGGGUUGUAAACCUCUUUCACCAGGGACGAAGCGUGAGUGACGGUACCUGGAGAAGAAGCACCGGCCAACUACGUG